rnacentral:rRNA from 1 species
AGUGUCAGCAUUGCCACCCUGAACACGCCCCACCUCGUCUGGUCUCAGAAGCUAAGCAGGGUCGGGCAUGGUUAGUACUUACAUGGGAGAUUGCCUGGGAAUAGCCCGUGCUGUAGGCUUUA